rnacentral:misc_RNA from 1 species
AGGAAAACAUGACAGAGAACCAGGCAACUAACGUGCAAGAUGAAAUUACAGAUGCCAGACUGAAACUGAAUGAAGUGAGCAGCUCGGAAACCGAGCAUGAAGAUGAAGACAGUGAUCAUUCAAAGAAUCAUUCACGAGCAUCGAGUGUCUGAUGCAACAGAUGUUCCUUUGGGGAGUGAUAUUAUGGCUGCUGCUUACUGCCUAACAUGUAUCUUAGAAUAGGUAAAGGCCAAAGAAAAGUAUGUUUCAGCCUUCUUGGGCUUUAAUGCUUUCGAGUUCAAAGUUAGAUAAAAAAAAAAAACAAGGAAAAAAAAAGCC